GUGCUCACUUUGGCAGCAUAUAUACUAAAAUUGAAAUGAUACAGAGAAGAUUAGCAUGGCCCCUGUGCAAAGAUGACAUGCAAAUUUGUGAAGCAUUCCAUGUUUUU
rnacentral:snRNA from 1 species